rnacentral:lncRNA from 1 species
CCGUAUCCCCGUAUCAUUGAAACUUAAUAUUUACCCAAACACUCGAAUAAUUACGUCAUUUCAUUCACUGCGUAUCACCGUAUCCCCCCAAAAUAAACAGUAUCAGAAAUGGACGGGUAUUCUAUAAUCUAGCCCAGAAAUCUGCAUUAUUUUGUGCAACUUUCAAGUUAAGCAAAUAUUAACAGUUUAUUGUAAGCAAUCUAAUCCAUAGCGCAAAACAACGAACAGUUUAUUUGCAUUAUCAAAUCUUGGUGGAUGCCAAGGGGCUGGAAAUAUAAUGUUUCCCAUCGCAAGUAAAACUUUACUUAUUUUACCAAAGGUUGACUAGUAAUGACACAACCUUCAGAAUAGCCACUGCCAAAAAUCUUGACUUAACCAAAGUCCU